AGCUUUGCGCAGUGGCAGUAUCGUAGCCAAUGAGGUUUAUCCGAGGCGCGAUUAUUGCUAAAUAAAUUUGCUCAAACCUAGAGAAUAUGUAACACCAAUAGUCAACUCUUAGGUCAACUGUGGACUCUGGGUGGUAAU